rnacentral:rRNA from 1 species
GAUGAACGCUGGCGGCGUGCUUAACACAUGCAAGUCGAACGAAGCACUUUGGACAGAUUCUUCGGAUGAAGUCCUUAGUGACUGAGUGGCGGACGGGUGAGUAACGCGUGGGUAACCUGCCUCAUACAGGGGGAUAACAGUUAGAAAUGGCUGCUAAUACCGCAUAAGCGCACAGCAUCGCAUGAUGCAGUGUGAAAAACUCCGGUGGUAUGAGAUGGACCCGCGUUGGAUUAGCUAGUUGGCAGGGUGACGGCCUACCAAGGCGACGAUCCAUAGCCGGCCUGAGAGGGUGGACGGCCACAUUGGGACUGAGACACGGCCCAGACUCCUACGGGAGGCAGCAGUGGGGAAUAUUGCACAAUGGGGGAAACCCUGAUGCAGCGACGCCGCGUGAGCGAAGAAGUAUUUCGGUAUGUAAAGCUCUAUCAGCAGGGAAGAAAAUGACGGUACCUGACUAAGAAGCCCCGGCUAACUACGUGCCAGCCGCCGCCGUAA